rnacentral:rRNA from 1 species
UACGAAGGUCCCAAGCGUUAUCCGGAUUUAUUGGGUUUAAAGGGUGCGUAGGCGGACUAUUAAGUCAGUAGUGAAAGCCCCCAGCCUAACUGGGGAACUGCCAUUGAUACUGAUGGUCUUGAGUACAUUUGAGGUGGGCGGAAUGUGCCAUGUAGCGGUGAAAUGCUUAGAUAUGACACAGAACACCAAUUGCGAAGGCAGCUUACUACACAGUAAUUGACACUGAGGCACGAAAGCGUGGGGAUCAAACAGG